rnacentral:tRNA from 1 species
GGCCCUUUAGCUCAGUGGUUAGAGCUGGUGGUUCAUAACCGCUUGUCGCUGGUUCAAAUCCAGCAAGGGCCACUA